rnacentral:sRNA from 1 species
UUGUGCCGUGUGUGGAGGGGGAGAAUUCCUACGGGUGGGUUUCCGAAUAUUGUGUUCAACUUUUUGAAAGCAGCUCGUGACCCCGAAACUGCAUCCCCCCCGGAGCCGGGGACCCAGGCGCCAGGCGGGCGGGUGAACCCGGCCAGUCCCUCCCAAUCCCCGCAACCCCCCGCCUCCGUGUGUGGGGGGGGGACCCAGGCCUGGAGGAAGGCUGGGCAGGUGCCGAGGGCUGUGCCGAAAGCGCUGAAAUCGAAAACCCUCGCCACUCAGGAAGAAUUGAGGCACAAGGAUUACAGAUGCAGCUCGGGAACAGCCCUGUACUCCAGCCAGUGCCUGGUCGCCCGUGGGCCCACCGGGCUCCGCGGUUCGCUGGCGGCGCCGCCUUGUGAGCGCUAAAGCCGGGAGGAGGGCUCAGGCAAGGCGCGCAGCUCUGAGCGCGCCCCUACCCGCUUCGGCCCGCAGCAGCCGGGACUUGCCUCUCCGCAAGUAAGGCUCUGCGCCGCCCUCUGAGUCCACCUCCAGGCCACAACACUGCCAGCGCUUCUGCAGCUUAGACUGGAAACACUAUGCUGCCUCCCGAAGCCGGGCCAGCUGUAAAUCAGUGAAGCAGCCCAGCUCCUCAAAGAUCCGGAGCUGGCCGACCCCAGACUGAUUCUCAACAGGUGGCUGGCAUCAACGCUCCAGAGAUGGGUCCUCACCUCCCAAGGUGCCUUCACUCCCAGAGGGCCCGGGCUCUCUGCCACAGCCCAACACUGGGCUUGCGCUCAGAGAGAAGGAAUAAGUGCUCUGAGGUUUGAACUCUGAAGUAUAAACUUACUCUGGCUGUGGUGGCAUAGACUUGUGGUACGUCAGCAGUCCACGGUCAGCCUUGUCUACAUAGCAAGUUUAAGGCCAGUCUGGACUACAUGAGACCAUGUCUGAAAAAAAGAAAAGCCCCAAGUGGAAAACGGAAAGCAGAAAAGAGAAUAUUCCUAGUGCGACAAGAAAUGUUCACCUCUCUCGAUGAUUUCUCUGCAGAAUGUGUUUAUAUGCUACGUGAUCUGUGGAGAAUCACCAAGCUGUGGAGGAAGAGAGGAAUAUGUAGACCCAAGCAGAAUUCUCAAAGAAUUUCUAGACGCUCCGAACCCAAGUCACACAGGCUUUAAGUAUUGGUCAAUCUCCAGGAAUGAAACAGAAACUUACUCCACCACUCAAGUCCUGUUUCUGAUCGAGGGACUAAAGGGCUAGGCCAACCAGUGGUUGCCAUGGAAGCUGCAUUAUGGAGUCCUGUCCUGCAAGGAGAGUUAGAUUAGAAGGAGCUGGGAUUCUUGGAAUCUGCAGAAGCAGCAUGCUGGGUAGGAAGAACCCAGAAAGCGUGCCUCUGAGACAGUCAGUCUGUCCACAUACAAAAGGCAGGCACCCACAGGGCUGGGGGGGCUAUUAAGUCAAACCUGGAGUCACAACCCCAGUGCCGUCAGACGGUCCCCAACCCUUUGCAGCAAGGUAGACAUGUGUCAGUGUGGCUGAAAAGCUUCUUCUGUGAGGUUUAACAACUUUCUGGUGUAACUUCUGAGAGGACUGAUUGCUUAUUCAUGUGGAAGCAAGACGCCCAGUUCACUUCG